rnacentral:rRNA from 1 species
CACGGGCUAAUAUCCUGUGUGGAUGACGGUACCGGAAUAAGAAGCACCGGCUAACUACGUGCCAGCAGCCGCGGUAAUACGUAGGGUGCGAGCGUUAAUCGGAAUUACUGGGCGUAAAGCGUGCGCAGGCGGUUUUGAUAAGACAGGCGUGAAAUCCCCGGGCUUAACCUGGGAACUGCGCUUGUGACUGUCUCACUAGAGUACGGCAGAGGGGGGUGGAAUUCCACGUGUAGCAGUGAAAUGCGUAGAGAUGUGGAGGAACACCGAUGGCGAAGGCAGCCCCCUCGGGCCGAUACUGACGCUCAUGCACGAAAGCGUGGGGAGCAAACAGGAUUAGAUACCCUGGUAGUCCACGCCCUAAACGAUGUCAACUAGGUGUUGGGUGGGUAAAACCAUUUAGUACCGGAGCUAACGCGUGAAGUUGACCGCCUGGGGGAGUACGGCCGCAAGGUUAAAACUCAAAGGAAUUGACGGGG